rnacentral:misc_RNA from 1 species
UACGGAGGGUGCAAGCGUUGUCCGGGUUUAUUGGGUUUAAAGGGUGCGUAGGCGGGUUAUUAAGUCAGUGGUGAAAGCACACAGCUCAACUGUGGAACUGCCAUUGAUACUGGUUACCUUGAGUAUAGAUGAGGCAGGCGGAAUUUACGAUGUAGCGGUGAAAUGCAUAGAUAUCGUAAAGAACACCUAUAGCGAAGGCAGCUUGCUAAACUAUAACUGACGCUGAGGAGCGAAAGCAUGGGUAGCGAACAGG